CGGGCCGUAGUAUAGUGGUAGUACGCGGGCUUCGGGUGCCUGUAGUGGGAGUUCGAUUCUCCCCGGCCCGACAA
rnacentral:tRNA from 1 species